rnacentral:rRNA from 1 species
ACUCAAAGGAAUUGACGGGGGCCCGCACAAGCAGUGGAGUAUGUGGUUUAAUUCGAAGCAACGCGAAGAACCUUACCAGGGCUUGACAUACAUGUGAAUACGGCAGAGAUGUCGUAGUCCUUCGGGACGCAUGUACAGGUGGUGCAUGGUUGUCGUCAGCUCGUGUCGUGAGAUGUUGGGUUAAGUCCCGCAACGAGCGCAACCCCUGUUGUUAGUUGCCAUCAUUUAGUUGGGCACUCUAACGAGACUGCCGGUGACAAAUCGGAGGAAGGUGGGGACGACGUCAAAUCAUCAUGCCCCUUAUGUCCUGGGCUACACACGUACUACAAUGGCUAUUACAGUGGGAAGCAAAGUCGCAAGGCGGAGCAAAUCCCCAAAAAUAGCCCCAGUUCAGAUUGUGGGCUGCAACUCGCCCACAUGAAGUCGGAAUUGCUAGUAAUGGCAGGUCAGCAUACUGCCGUGAAUACGUUCCCGGGCCUUGUACACACCGCCCGU